rnacentral:rRNA from 1 species
UACAGAGGGUGCAAGCGUUAUUCGGAAUGACUGGGCGUAAAGGGCGCGUAGGUGGUUAAUUAAGUUAGAUGUGAAAUACCUGGGCUUAACCUGGGAAAGUCAUUUACUACUGAUUAGCUGGAGUGUAGGAGAGGGUAGCGAAAUUUCCAGAGUAGCGGUGAAAUGCGUAGAUACUGGAAAGAAGACUUGAGGCGAAGGCGGUUACCUGGCCUACUACUGACACUGAGGCGCGAAAGCGUGGGGAGCAAACAGG